GUGGUUUUAUGAUGACGGUCUUUUUUUCCCCGUCUUAUCGACCAUGGUGAAUUCUCCUGAAAAUAAGCCAAGUUGAUCUGAAGCCGC
ensembl:snoRNA small nucleolar SNORD12/SNORD106